GGAGAUUACAAGCAUAAGCUCAAAACUCAAAGGACUUGGCGGCGCUUUAAACCCACCUAGAGGAGCCUGUCCUGUAACCGAUAACCCUCGUUAAACCUUACCUUCCUUUGUUCUCAGCCUAUAUACCGCCGUCGUCAGCUCACCCUAUGAAGGUACAUUAGUAAGCAAGACUGGUCUAGCCCAAAACGUCAGGUCGAGGUGUAGCAUAUAAGAAGGAAAGAGAUGGGCUACAUUUCCUACAUAGGGAACCACGGAUAGCAUAAUGAAACAAGUGCAUUGAAGAAGGAUUUAGCAGUAAGUAAAAAAUAGAGUGUUUUACUGAAACCGGCCCUAAAGCGCGCACACACCGCCCGUCGUUCUCUCCUCGCCCAACCCUAAACUUAGAUAAAAAACCAAUAUCAGCAAAGGAGAGACAAGUCGUAACAUGGUAAGUGUACUGGAAAGUGCCCUUGGAUAAAC
rnacentral:rRNA from 1 species